CUGGCCGGGGACACCAGGGUCACGAAGGCGGUGUUCCCAGGAGGAGGCUUCCCCGUCGCCCGAUGUGCAGUUUCCCCAAAUGUGGGAAACUCGACGGCAUAACUCGUGGUCUCAGGGGACGGCACUCCGCCUCCCCGGA
rnacentral:snRNA from 1 species